GCAUGGCUGGCGGAUGUCUGUGAUCCGCAGCAGGACUGGUGCAGGUCACUCCGAAGGCUGCGUUGUUGGUGGAUGUCCGUGAUCCCCAGCAUGCCCUGUGUCUGGUGCAGGUCACUCGAAAGGCUACGUUGCUGGGCCUUGGCCAACAUUUUCUGUAUGAUCAUUUGAUAGCAGAUGUACAUUUACAAUAAAAGUCUACAUGCUAUUGUUACACAGGUAAAAUAAACCAACAUGUCUUUUUCUUAGAGUUUA